rnacentral:rRNA from 1 species
AACGAACGCUGGCGGCAGGCCUAACACAUGCAAGUCGAGCGCCCCGCAAGGGGAGCGGCGGACGGGUGAGUAACGCGUGGGAACGUGCCUCUUGCUACGGAAUAGCCUCGGGAAACUGGGAGUAAUACCGUAUAAGCCCUACGGGGGAAAGAUUUAUCGGCAAGAAAUCGGCCCGCGUUGGAUUAGGUAGUUGGUGGGGUAAUGGCCAACCAAGCCGACGAUCCAUAGCUGGUUUGAGAGGAUGAUCAGCCACACUGGGACUGAGACACGGCCCAGAAUCCUACGGGAGGAAGCAGUGGGGAAUCUUAGACAAUGGGCGCAAGCCUGAUCUAGCCAUGCCGCGUGAGCGAUGAAGGCCUUAGGGUUGUAAAGCUCUUUCGUGGGGGAAGAUAAUGACUGUACCCCAAGAAGAAGCCCCGGCUAACUCCGUGCCAGCAGCCGCCGUAA